GGAAAAGUCUCCGAAUUGGAUCGAGGUUUUGGCUACCCCACCAUUGUCAGGCAUCCCGAGCGCGUUCCCGAAGUCGGAAUCGGCAAAGGCCACAGGAGGAUAUUUAUUCUGGGUUAACCUGCUUUUAUACUUCGCAGGUUGUUUAUCGAUAUUUGUGUAAUUUUAUUUACUCCUAGAAUUUCCGCAUGUGUUAGCAGUAAUUAUUUGAAUUUGGUCUGUAAUAUUAUAUUCAUGUUGGACCUGUAAACUUAAUAUUUUAAGUCUGUUUUGAUGGAUUGGAUGAGGGAGCUGAGCUCCCAUUUAUUAUUA